ACGAUGUCUACUAGUUGUCGGGUUUUAAUUAACUUGGUAACGCAGCUAACGCGUGAAGUAGACCGCCUGGGGAGUACGGUCGCAAGAUUAAAACUCAAAGGAAUUGACGGGGACCCGCACAAGCGGUGGAUGAUGUGGAUUAAUUCGAUGCAACGCGAAAAACCUUACCUACCCUUGACAUGGUCGGAAGUCCGAAGAGAUUUGGAUGUGCUCGAAAGAGAACCGACACACAGGUGCCGCAUGGCUGUCGUCAGCUCGUGUCGUGAGAUGUUGGGUUAAGUCCCGCAACGAGCGCAACCCUUGUCAUUAGUUGCUACGAAAGAGCACUCUAAUGAGACUGCCGGUGACAAACCGGAGGAAGGUGGGGAUGACGUCAAGUCCUCAUGGCCCUUAUGGGUAGGGCUUCACACGUCAUACAAUGGUACAUACAGAGGGCCGCCAACCCGCGAGGGGGAGCUAAUCCCAGAAAGUGUAUCGUAGUCCGGAUUGUAGUCUGCAACUCGACUACAUGAAGUUGGAAUCGCUAGUAAUCGCGGAUCAGCAUGUCGCGGUGAAUACGUUCCCGGGUCUUGUACACACCGCCCGUCACACCAUGGGAGCGGGUUUUACCAGAAGUAGGUAGCUUAACCGCAAGGAGGGCGCUUACCACGGUAGGAUUCGUGACUGGGGUGAAGUCGUAACAAGGUAACCAAGGG
rnacentral:rRNA from 1 species